GUGAGCUCCCCAGAGGAGCAAGUCCAGCCAAUCACACUCUGAGUCCAGGCGUACCGCCUCCCAUCCCUAAGUCCCACUCCAAGCUGAGACCAGUGAUGCCGCCGCGGCCUGAAUCCAGCCCCUGUCGGGACAUGAAACCAGAAAACAUCAUUAACCUGUUUGAUGCUGCAGCUGCUCCUAACAUCAGUGUUACGUCCCCAACACAGUUUGACAGCCCUGCAGGGGACAACCUCUUGGACAUGAACCUGU